rnacentral:tRNA from 1 species
UCCCUGGGGGUCUAGUGGUUAGGACUCAGCGCUUUUAUGCUGUGGUCCAGGUUCAAUCCCUGGUCUGGGAA